GGAUUGUGGCUCAGUGGUUGAGUGCUCGCCUAGCAUGCAUGAGACCCUGAGUUCGGUCCUCAGCACCA
rnacentral:tRNA from 1 species